rnacentral:lncRNA from 1 species
AGGGGGGGAGCUGCUGCAGACCCAUGUGGUGCUCUGCCUCAUGCCCUCUCAGCCUAACCUCUAAUUUCAGCAGAGAUGGGGUGUGUUUCUGUUCCGUGGUUAAGUCGCUGCAUGCUCACAGAGGCUUACUUCAAGCACGGGCUGCAAGGUUUUACUUUCUUCAUCAGGAUUCCUCUCAUGCCACGAAUGGGGAAAGUUCACAGUUGUUGGAGCUGAUAUUCCUAGAGAAAAAUGCUGGAAGCUACAUAUGGGGCAGUCCUGCUCCUCAGGGCCCACAGAAGCUCAGAUUCCUCCUGUCUACUUGCUCUGCCAAGUGUUGUUUUUGGUGGCUUAACGCCACUUCCACUCUCCAGCCAGUAGAAAGGUGAGAAAAGCGAAAGAGAAGAACAGAAUUCUCUUCACUGCAGGAUCUCCUUACAUCCCACUGAUCAGAAUUUCCACCAUGACCAUGCCUAGAUUCAAGGGGUGAGGUGAGGGGAGGAGCUGGGAAAUGCAGUCUGCAUUCUGUGCCCAGCUAAAAUGUAGGGAUGCGGUUGCCAUAGAAUCGGGGAAAGUGGAUAUGGGGGCAUGGCAGCUGGUGCUCACGGGGCACUCUUUGCCUUUGACAGUGGAUCAGGCAUUAUGCAGAGCACGAAGAGGAGCACAUUGUAGUCUCUGACUUCAGAAGAAGCAGACAGCAAAGGUGGUUUCCUUCCUGGUGGAGAUUGCCGAUUGGACUACAGAAUGGCGAGAAUACUGUGAAAGGAGGAGCAUAGAAAUCCAAGUGUGAUCAGUCAGCAGGUCUUGGCCAGGAGCAUACACAGAAUAAACAAAUAAAUAAGUAAAGAGAGGAAGGGGAAGUAAUGUUAAGACUGUUCAAGACUUGGAAUACAGCUCUCCUAAAAAGCAGUCCUUUGAAGUCUUGGGAUACUACAGAAAGAUCCCAACAACCACUGAGCCUGGUUUCGAUUUUUGGAGGAAACACACCAGGUGAAUAAAGCAGUGUGACGUGAGAGAAAAGAGGGCGGCAAAGGUGAAUGGGAUCCCAGCCUUUCAAGGACUUGGGCAGAGCAACUGGAGGAGGUGUGAGUCCAGCCAACAGUGUGGAUCAGUUUCCUAGGCUGCCAUAACAAAGCACCAUAACCUGGUGGCUUAGAACAAUGGAAAGGCAUUUGCUCACGGUUCCAGAAGCUGUAGGUUAGAAACUAAGUGUGGCAGGGUCAUGGCCCCUCUGAAACCUAGGAGGGAAGGAUGCUUCCCUGCUUCUUCCUGCUUCUGCUAUCCCCUGAUGUUCCUGGGUUAGUGGCAGCAUAAUUCUGGCCUCUGCCUCUGUCUUAACGUGGUGUUUUUUCCUGUGUCUCUUCAUAUUGCCUUUUGUCUCUGUGCCUCUACCUCUGAGUCCAAAUUGCCCCUUUUUAUAAGGACAAUCACAUUGUCCUUAGUCACAUUGGAUUGGAUUAGGGCCCACUAUACAGACCUUGUUUUAACUUGAUUCUUCUAUCAAGACCCUGAGAAUCUCCAAAUAAGGCCACAUUCUGAGGAACUGUGGGUUUGGACUUCAACAUGUCUUUUUUGGGGGCCACAACUCAACCCAUACCAGCUUGCUUGAUGGAUAUUCAUAGCUGAUGUCAAAGUAAAUUUAAUUCUCAUCCUCAGAAGCAAGAAAGAUUCCACGACUAAGGCCAACAAUAACAUCCAGGGAGUUCGUUUCUUGAGCAACGACCAGCUCUUUGCAUAGCACGAAUUGCCAAAAAAGGCCAGCGUAGUCAUUUCUCGGCCAUGCACACCUGUGAUGUGGCAAGCCAUG